UCGCUACUACCGAUUGAACGUUUUAGUGAGGUAUUUGGACUGGACCUCCGAAGGUUCACGCCUUUGGUGCUGUCCGGGAAGACUCCCGAACUUGAGCGUUUAGAGGAAGUAA
rnacentral:rRNA from 1 species